CUUUUGCCGGCGAGCGGCGGACGGGUGAGUAAUGCCUGGGAAAUUGCCCAGUCGAGGGGGAUAACAGUUGGAAACGACUGCUAAUACCGCAUACGCCCUACGGGGGAAAGCAGGGGGACCUUCGGGCCUUGCGCGAUUGGAUAUGCCCAGGUGGGAUUAGCUAGUUGGUGAGGUAAUGGCUCACCAAGGCGACGAUCCCUAGCUGGUCUGAGAGGAUGAUCAGCACACUGGGAACUGAGUACACGGGUCCAGUACUCCCUUAACGGGGGAAGGGGCAAGCCAAGGUGGGGGGAAAUAUUUUGGCACCAAAUUGGGGGGGGGAAAAAACCCCUUGGAAUUGGCCAAGCCAAUUGGCCCGGCGGUUGGUUGGUUGGAAAGAAAGGGCCCUUUCGGGGGUUUGGUAAAAGGCACUUUUCAAGGCGGAGGGAGGGAAAAGGGUUGUUGGCUAAUACCCAACAAGCUGUGUACGUUACUCGCAGAAAUAAGGCACCCGGCUAACUCCGGUGCCAAGCAGGCCGCGGUAAUACGGAGGGUGCAGGCGUUAAUCGGAAUUACUGGGCGUAAAGCGCACGCAGGCGGUUGGAUAAGUUAAAUGUGAAA
rnacentral:rRNA from 1 species